UACGAAGGGGGCUAGCGUUGUUCGGAAUUACUGGGCGUAAAGGGCGCGUAGGCGGUGUGUCAAGUCAGGCGUGAAUGCCCCGGGCUCAACCUGGGAACCGCGCUUGAGACUGGCACGCUAGAGUUCGGGAGAGGAUGGUGGAAUUCCCAGUGUAGAGGUGAAAUUCGUAGAUAUUGGGAAGAACACCGAUGGCGAAGGCAGCCAUCUGGACCGACACUGACGCUGAGGCGCGAAAGCGUGGGGAGCAAACAGG
rnacentral:rRNA from 1 species